UGCCAGCAGCCGCUGUACUCCUGAUUGUGCAAUCGUUGUCCGGAUUUAUUGGGUUUAAAGGGUGCGUAGGCGGUCUUUUAAGUCAGUGGUGAAAUCCCGCAGCUCAACUGCGGAACUGCCAUUGAUACUGAAGGACUUGAGUACAGACGAGGUAGGCGGAAUUUAUGGUGUAGCGGUGAAAUGCAUAGAUACCAUAAAGAACACCGAUAGCGAAGGCAGCUUACUAGACUGUAACUGACGCUGAGGCACGAAAGCGUGGGGAGCGAACAGGAUUAGAUA
rnacentral:rRNA from 1 species